GAUGAACGCUGGCGGCGUGCUUAACACAUGCAAGUCGAACGGAAAGGCUCCUGCUUGCAGGGGUACUCGAGUGGCGAACGGGUGAGUAACACGUGGGUGAUCUGCCCUGCACUUCGGGAUAAGCUUGGGAAACUGGGUCUAAUACCGGAUAGGACCGCAUUUUGGAUGGUGUGGUGGAAAGUUUUUUCGGUGUGGGAUGAGCUCGCGGCCUAUCAGCUUGUUGGCGGGGUAAUGGCCUACCAAGGCGUCGACGGGUAGCCGGCCUGAGAGGGUGUACGGCCACAUUGGGACUGAGAUACGGCCCAGACUCCUACGGGAGGCAGCAGUGGGGAAUAUUGCACAAUGGGCGCAAGCCUGAUGCAGCGACGCCGCGUGGGGGAUGACGGCCUUCGGGUUGUAAACUCCUUUCGCUAGGGACGAAGAGUAAUUGACGGUACCUGGAGAAGAAGCACCGGCUAACUACGUG
rnacentral:rRNA from 1 species